rnacentral:lncRNA from 1 species
AAGUUAUCUUUCACUACAUAUUUGUUUUUCUAAAUUAUACAGUUGGUAUUUGACUAUUUUGUUUUCAAGUUCCUUAAGUCUAUUUGUUUAUUUAAAAAAUGUCUGCCUUCAUAUCCAUUGUUUUUUAAUGUCUAAUAUGCAGUUCCUGCAACACUUCCUCUCUGGAGUAUCAGAUUAUUCCUAGCAAAUUCAUCUAUUUGGUGAAAACCAAGAAGCCACCUUGCUGAUUUUAUAUAGAACCAUAUACAGGUUAUUUUCAGUUUCAGAGUCUAAUCUGGAAGUCACAAAUUCUCCCAUGCCUAUUAUGGUCAUCAAAAAAAAUAACAGUGCAUCAUGGUAUGGUUUUUGCAGUCCCUUAAAAAGGAAGUACAUUCUUGAUCCAGAUCCUAGGUUCUAUGUGCAACUUUCUAAAGACUUUAAAUAGGAAAAUGUAGUAUAUGCAUGUUCUUUAAUAUUAGAGUUGUAAUUCUUUUUUUUUUUUUGUCCAGAAUUUUGGUUUUAAAUACCUCUUGUUGGAUAAAAGGG